rnacentral:rRNA from 1 species
CAGCCGCCGCGGUAAUACGUAGGGCGCAAGCGUUAUCCGGAAUUAUUGGGCGUAAAGAGCUCGUAGGCGGUUUGUCGCGUCUGCCGUGAAAGUCCGGGGCUCAACCCCGGAUCUGCGGUGGGUACGGGCAGACUAGAGUGAUGUAGGGGAGACUGGAAUUCCUGGUGUAGCGGUGAAAUGCGCAGAUAUCAGGAGGAACACCGAUGGCGAAGGCAGGUCUCUGGGCAUUAACUGACGCUGAGGAGCGAAAGCAUGGGGAGCGAACAGGAUUAGAGACCCCAGUAGUCCCUGUCUCUUAUAC